UAUUGAUAUUGAAUGGUACUGGGUUAAAUCCCACAAGUACCAGGAUACUACUUUCUCUGCCAAUUUGAGAGGCUAAUUGUAGCCUCGAAAUUAUACAUGGCAAAGGUUCAAAAUGAUUGUAUGGAAAUUAAAUUUUGUCUCCCUUCUACAAACAGAUUUACAAAAAUAGUGAUGUUUCGGGGCGAGACCCUUCUUCAGAAGUGUCUCGACUCGAAACGUCACCUAUUCCUUUUCUCCAGAGAUGCUGACUCACCCGCUGAGUUACUCCAGCUUUUUGUAUCUAUCUUCGGUUUAAACCAGCAACUGCAGUUCCUUCCUACAUACAAGGAAUUUGCCUUGGGGCUCCGCCCACAAGUAACAACAUGACAUACAGUGACAGUUACGAACGACUCAGAAAACACUAAACAUUAAUAAUAAUAAAACAUUAAUGAUAAAACACCAUUGAUCAAGCAUGUGAACCAACAAAAUAACAGAUCAAAGGGAGGCUACAGAUUUAUGGCAGUUGAGUAGAGCAACUACUCGUGGAUAAAAACUGUUUUUAUGUCUGGCUGUGGCAGCUUUGACAGUCUGGAGUCGCCUUCCAGAGAGAAGUGAUUCAAACAGUUUGUGGCCAGGGUGAGAGGGGUCAGAGAUGAUCUUGCCCGCUUGCUUCCUGGCCCUUGCAGUGUACAGUUCAUCAAUGGGGGGAAGGUUGCAGCCAAUAACCUUCUCUGCUGAUCGGACAAUUCGCUGCAGCCUCCAGGUGUCGUGCUUGGUGGCUGAGCCAAACCAGACCAUGAUGGAGAAGGUGAGAACAGACUCUACAAUGGCCGUGUAGAAUUGGACCAUCAUUGCCUGUGGCAGAUUGUGCUUCCUCAGCUGCCAUAGGAAGUACAUCCUCUGUUGUGCCUUUUUUGACUGUGGAGUCGAUGGUAGCCCCCCACUUAUGGUUCUUGGAGAUUAUGGUUUCCAGGAACUUAAAAGACUCCACAGAUGUGACUGUGGUGUUGUUGAUGGUGAGUGGGAUGAGGGGAGGGGGAGCUCUCCUAAAGUCUACAUCGAUUCUAGUCUUAAGAGCAUUGAGCUCCAGGUUGUUGCGAUGGCACCAGGAUGCCAGCUAUGACACUUCCUGUCUAACACAGGUGCAGACGAGAAAGAUGCUGCCAAACCCAUUUAAAGAAAGAUAAACACAAAAAGCUGCAGUAACUCAGCAGGACAAGCAGUAUCACUGGAGCGAAGGAAUGAGUUACGUUUCGGGUCAAGACCCUCUUCAGGCCAUUUAAAGAAACCUCUACUACUCUCUCACAUUGUUUCAAAUGAAAACAUUUAUUUUUACUUACGUAAAUACGUGCACAUCAUCCUUGUGCAUUCCAAUAUGACUUACUCUCAUUUUUUCUUAACACCGGUGGAUAUAGGCCACAACAUUCUUCAUGGGACAACUCGCUCAAUCCAGAAGAUGUUCACCAGGUCUAAAGUGCAUGGAGUAAUGAGUGAAAGAAUCAGAAGGGAGAUGAGGAAAUUGUUUCAUUUUCCCCCACCCAGAGUGUGCAGAGAUCAAGAACACAGUACCUGAAAAAGCAGAAAUACACUUAAUGAUUGGAUAUGAGACUGACUGACUUUCAGGACUAGGGACUAAAGGGCCUGUUCCACUUGGCAAUAAAGCUCAAAUAGGUUUAAUAAUAUCACCUCUGAAUGGAGCAUUUAAUAAUAUCUUCCAAGUUAAUCUUACUAUUUGGAGUUUGAAGCUGAUGAAGAGAUGCCUCACAAAUAAAAUGAUAUACC